rnacentral:ncRNA from 1 species
AUAAAAUUUUUAUGUUUUAAAAAAUUUAUUAUAAAUUUAUUUUACAUAUAAAUUUUAGUAUGAAAUUUUAAUUAUUUUAAUAAUAUUAAAUUGAUUUUGUAGUAAUUAAAAUUAAAAAUUUAAGAAAUUAAGAUUUAGUAAUAUAUAAAUUAAUAACUAAUUUUGUGCCAGCAGUUGCGGUUAUACAAAAAUUAAAUUAAAUUAUUUCAGUAUAUAAUUAAUAAAAUAAAAAUUAAAAUAAAUAUUAAAUUAUUAGGUAAAAUUUUAAUUUAAUUAAAUUUUAAAUUAAUUUUAUGAUUUAAUAAAUUUAAUAAUAAACUAGGAUUAGAUACCCUAUUAUUGAAAAUUUAAUUUAUAAUACUAAAAUAGUAGAUAAAAAAUAUUGAAACUUAAAUAAUAUGGCGGUAUUUUAGUUCAUUUAGAGGAAUCUGUCUAAUAAUUGAUAAUCCACGAAUAAAUUUACUUAAUUUAUAAUUUUAUAUAUCGUUGUUAAAAAAAUAUUUUAUAAUAAAAAUAAUAUUUUAAAAUUUAAAUAAAAAAUUAAUUCAGAUCAAGAUGUAGAGUAUAAUUAAGAAUAUGAUGGAUUACAAUAAAAUAAUUUAAGAUGAAUAAUUUAAUUUUAAUAUAAAUUUGAAGGUGGAUUUAAAUGUAAUUUUAAUUAGUUUAUUAAAAUGAUUAAAAAUUGAAAUAUGUACAUAUUGCCCGUCACUUUCAUUUAAAAAUUGGAAUAAGUCGUAACAAAGUAGAGGUACUGGAAAGUGUUUCUAGAAAGAA